CAGGCCUAACACAUGCAAGUCGAGCGGACCAUUCCUUCGGGGAUGGUUAGCGGCGGACGGGUGAGUAACACGUAGGCAACCUGCCUGUAAGAUCGGGAUAACUACCGGAAACGGUAGCUAAGACCGGAUAGCUGGUUUCUCCGCAUGGGGGAAUUAUGAAACACGGGGCAACCUGUGGCUUACGGAUGGGCCUGCGGCGCAUUAGCUAGUUGGUGGGGUAAUGGCCCACCAAGGCGACGAUGCGUAGCCGACCUGAGAGGGUGAUCGGCCACACUGGGACUGAGACACGGCCCAGACUCCUACGGGAGGCAGCAGUAGGGAAUCUUCCGCAAUGGGCGCAAGCCUGACGGAGCAACGCCGCGUGAGUGAUGAAGGUUUUCGGAUCGUAAAGCUCUGUUGCCAAGGAAGAACGCCUCGGAGAGUAACUGCUCUGAGGGUGACGGUACUUGAGAAGAAAGCCCCGGCUAACUACGUGCCAGCAGCCGCGGUAAUACGUAGGGGGCAAGCGUUGUCCGGAAUUAUUGGGCGUAAAGCGCGCGCAGGCGGUCUUUUAAGUUUGGUGUUUAAGCCCGGGGCUCAACCCCGGUUCGCACUGAAAACUGGGAGACUUGAGUGCAGGAGAGGAAAGCGGAAUUCCACGUGUAGCGGUGAAAUGCGUAGAGAUGUGGAGGAACACCAGUGGCGAAGGCGGCUUUCUGGACUGUAACUGACGCUGAGGCGCGAAAGCGUGGGGAGCAAACAGGAUUAGAU
rnacentral:rRNA from 1 species